AACGAACGCUGGCGGCAUGCCUAACACAUGCAAGUCGAACGAGACCUUCGGGUCUAGUGGCGCACGGGUGCGUAACGCGUGGGAAUCUGCCCUUCGGUUGGGAAUAACACAGAGAAAUUUGUGCUAAUACCUUAUAAUGUCUUCGGACCAAAGAUUUAUCGCCGAGGGGUGAGCCCGCGUAGGAUUAGCUAGUUGGUGGGGUAAUGGCCUACCAAGGCGACGAUCCUUAGCUGGUCUGAGAGGAUGAUCAGCCACACUGGGACUGAGACACGGCCCAGACUCCUACGGGAGGCAGCAGUGGGGAAUAUUGGACAAUGGGCGAAAGCCUGAUCCAGCAAUGCCGCGUGAGUGAUGAAGGCCUUAGGGUUGUAAAGCUCUUUUACCCGGGAUGAUAAUGACAGUACCGGGAGAAUAAGCUCCGGCUAACUCCGUGCCAGCCGCCGCAGUAA
rnacentral:rRNA from 1 species